rnacentral:lncRNA from 1 species
UCAAAGGCCAACUAAAGAAAAUAAAAAAGCCCAUGUGUUAUAAGCACCAAGAACCUAAAAGAAAUCCUUCACUUGUAAAUUAUAGGGGCUCCGUUAUCCAUGAUGCAAACAAUCAGAUCAACAAGUACCAACAAAGUCAUAGAACCGUUAAAGAUGUGGAAUUUCAAAAUCAAAGAAGCACGCACAAGCAAGCAAUUUAUGCAAUAGCAUCAGAUUCAUUUUGUUCAUCAUGAUCCAACCAAAUUCCCAACGCAGGUUAUGUAUAAAAACAAAUUGUAAUUAAGUGGCUCGGUGCCUG